AACGCACCUUGCGCCUCUUGGUAUUCCGAGGGGCACACCCGUUUGAGUGUCGUGAAAACAUCAACCUCCUUGAUUUCUUCCGAGAAACCUAUGGAGGCUUGGACAUUGGAGGCCUUUGCUGGUGUCUCUUUCUCUUGAAGGCCCAGCUCCUCUUAAACGAAUUAGCGGGGUCCUCUUUGCCGAUUCCUCGACAUGUGAUAAGAUGUUUCCGUGUCUUGGUCUCUUGGCUCUGUCGCUUUUGGGACCCGCUCCUAAUCGUCUCAACCUCACAUCGAGACAAACGUCUGAGCGAGUCUCCCCUCCCCGGGAAACUCUCUCGACCUCACGAACCCUUGACCUCAAAUCGGGUGAGACUACCCGCUGAACUUAAGCAUAUCAUAGCGGAGG
rnacentral:rRNA from 1 species